rnacentral:tRNA from 1 species
GCACCGGUGGUGAAACGGAAGACACACUGGGAUGAGAGUCCAGGUUUUGCGGGUUCGACUCCCGCUCGGUGCA